rnacentral:lncRNA from 1 species
UUCUGUGUCUUUGUUAUGGCACCCUCAACAGAGUUGGGGUGACAUAUUGUUAUUCUACGUUUCUUUUUUUUUUAAGGUCUUUCCUUUUUCUAUAAGGAAAGACCUUACUGUAUUUCUUCUGAUUAUUAUUAUUAUUAGGUCUUUCCACUUUUCUGUGGAAAGCCUAUUGUAUUUGUUCUGAUUAUUAUUAUUAUUAUUUUUUUUUUUUUUCCGCCAAAUUUUGUUCUUGCGAUAAAUGUUUGUUUCGCAAUAUGUCGCUUAGAUUUUUUUCAUAUUGUAUCGUAUAGUUUAUGCGCUUUUAAAUUUCACCCUGCUAAGCCGAACCAUUUUCUUUGUAAGAGUUAUCUCCCUAUUCACUGUUUGUCAUGUGUGUGCAUCUCCUUCGUAACAAAAUAAGAAAGCG